GGUGUCCCUGCGGGAAGGGGACGGCGAUCCCCUGGCUAGCCUGUACGAUGGCCUUGACGUGGACAGCACAGCGGGAGAGGCCCCAUUUUUCACCAAGGUGGUGGCCCUGCUGGGAAGGGAG